rnacentral:tRNA from 1 species
GCGCCUGUAGCUCAACUGGAUAGAGCGCGUGGCUUCGGACCAUGAGGUUAGGGGUUCAAGUCCCUUCAGGCGCAC